rnacentral:ncRNA from 1 species
UUGUCUUCAAGGCGCGGUGAAAUUCCCGACCGGCGGUUAAAGCCCGCAACCCAUUUUUAUGGUUGAUCUGGUUAGAUUCCAGAGCCGACAGUAUAGUCUGGUAUGCAGAAGAU